rnacentral:rRNA from 1 species
AGAAUCAACGCUGGCGGCGUGCCUAACACAUGCAAGUCGAACGAGAAAGGGUAGCAAUACCUGAGUAAAGUGGCGCACGGGUGAGUAACACGUGACUAACCUACCCUGGAGUGGGGAAUAACUGAGGGAAACCUUAGCUAAUACCGCAUAAUACCUACGGGUCAAAGGAGCAAUUCGCUUCAGGAGGGGGUCGCGGCCGAUUAGUUAGUUGGCGGGGUAAUGGCCCACCAAGACAGUGAUCGGUAU